rnacentral:lncRNA from 1 species
UCGAUUUUUUCUCUUUAAGUUAUGGAUUUGCAGAGAAUGGAGGGUGCUGUUUCGUUGUUGCCUUAUUGCUUAUUGUCUUGAAUUUUUCUUUACUUAAGGUACAUCCUCAAUUGGUUGAUUCAUUCUCAGGUGAACGCUGAUGCUUUGAGAACUUCGGUGGAUCCAUCCAAAGUUCCAUGCGGACCUACAGAAUUGGAGGUUGCAGA